rnacentral:sRNA from 1 species
UACUGGGGUUACAGACAUGAGCCACCACGCCCGGCCCUUUUUAAAUCCAUCUUCCAUGAGCUAACACUCUCUUUCCCUUUCCAGAUUGACUGGGGCGACUUUGGGGUAGAGGCAGUGUCUGAGGGGACUGACUCUGGCAUCUCUGCUGAGGCUGCUGGAAUCGACUGGGGCAUCUUCCCGGAAUCAGAUUCAAAGGAUCCUGGAGGUGAUGGGAUAGACUGGGGAGACGAUGCUGUUGCUUUGCAGAUCACAGUGCUGGAAGCAGGAACCCAGGGUAAGUGCACCAUCCCCUGCAGCCCUGGCAAAAGUGGGGUGCUCAAGGGCCCCCACGUGUGUAGAAACAGAAAAAAUGCAGCACUAAGAUGAGGCUUCUUGCACAUUUAACUGUUUCUCAAAACCUUGAUGAGGAUGUGAGCU